rnacentral:rRNA from 1 species
GAUGAACGCUGGCGGCGUGCCUAAUACAUGCAAGUCGAGCGAACAGAUGAGGAGCUUGCUCCUCUGACGUUAGCGGCGGACGGGUGAGUAACACGUGGAUAACCUACCUAUAAGACUGGGAUAACUUCGGGAAACCGGCGCUAAUACCGGAUAAUAUAUUGAACCGCAUGGUUCAAUAGUGGAAGACGGUUUUGCUGUCACUUAUAGAUGGAUCCGCGCCGCAUUAGCUAGUUGGUAAGGUAACGGCUUACCAAGGCAACGAUGCGUAGCCGACCUGAGAGGGUGAUCGGCCACACUGGAACUGAGACACGGUCCAGACUCCUACGGGAGGCAGCAGUAGGGAAUCUUCCGCAAUGGGCGAAAGCCUGACGGAGCAACGCCGCGUGAGUGAUGAAGGUCUUCGGAUCGUAAAACCCUGUUAUUAGGGAAGAACAAAUGUGUAAGUAACUAUGCACGUCUUGACGGUACCUAAUCAGAAAGCCACGGCUAACUACGUG